GAGGGUAUGGCUCAGUGGUAGAGUGCCUGCCUGGCACGCACAAGGUCCUGGGUUCAAUCCCCAGUCACUCCA
rnacentral:tRNA from 1 species